AGGAUUUGGAUCUGAAUAUUUUGACAGACAAGAGAAUGGGUUGCCAUUAAGUGAUAACAAAUCUUUGCGUAAGCAAUAUAUAAGUGUUCUUACAUCAAAAGGCCCGGAGGACUUUAUGGCUAACUUGGCAUGGUGGGAACCAGGUCAUGGGAAGUUCAAGUUCCGCCACCCAUGGAAAAAGUAUUUGAAUGUUGGAGCUGCAAGUAGGUAAUGUGCCUAUAAAAUUGAGGCUCUUAAUACUUACCUGAACAAUGAAGUUCAGGCCCCUGCUGAAAUCCGAGACCAAAUUCAGGAACCAUGCAAAAAUAUUUGCAUUGAAACCGGGAAAGCUUUGAAGGAAUUAGCUGCAGCACUUAAGAAAAUGACUCUAUCAUCAUCAGCUGACCACCACAUUACAGUCUCAAAAGCAGCAGCUGAGAGUCUCAUGUCGUUGCUGAGAGGAGGCAUAUGGAAAGAUCCGAAUGUGAUCGAAAUGGUACCAUCAGCUGCGGUGGCGUUGCUUCUUAUUGAAGUUGUAACCAGUGUUGAGAAGAUUGGUGAAGCACUUCAUGAACUAGCAUCCGCUGCAGAUUUCAAGACUGAUAAAGGACAAGUACUACCGGAGCCAGUGGUUUCUGAAG